UACAGAGGGGCAAGCGUUGUUCGGAAUUAUUGGGCGUAAAGGGCGCGUAGGCGGUGCGGUAAGUCUGCGGUGAAAUCUCCCGGCUCAACUGGGAGGCUGCCGUGGAAACUGCCGUGCUUGAGUGUGGGAGAGGUGAGUGGAAUUCCGGGUGUAGCGGUGGAAUGCGUAGAUAUCGGGAGGAACACCUGUGGCGAAAGCGGCUCACUGGACAGUAACUGACGCUGAUGCACGAAAGCUAGGGGAGCAAACAGG
rnacentral:rRNA from 1 species